ensembl:lncRNA
UGAUUCUUUCAGAGUCGCUUUUUCCUCAGUUCUCUUUCACUCUGACAUUCUGUGCAUGAUAUUAAGAGAAUGUGGACAAGUGAGUGACUCUUACUCGAGCUGUGCAUCAGAAAGAUGUGUAUAACUUCUGGACUGUGUGUGUUUUUCAUUUUAUUUUUGGGGAGGACAACAGGUGCAAAAGUUGAACAGAGCUCUACUGUUUUUGCCAACAAAACAGACAAUGUAACAAUUCAAUGCAGCCAUGAUGAUGACAGCCUAACAUAUAUGUAUUGGUAUCAGCAAAAGAGUGACAGUACAGCUAUGGCACUGAUCGGCUACGCUGUUGGCAUGAGUAAGCCAGUCACUGAAGACGGAUUUAAUGAGAGAUUCACACUGAACAGACAGACCAUCCAGAAAGGAGAUCUGACCAUAUCUGAGCUCCUCCAAACUGAUUCUGCUGUUUAUUACUGUGCAGCUAGUAAGCACAGUGGUGCACAUACUGUCAACCCCAAACACCAAACUCACAGGAACUUCAAACUGCAUAAUAGUUCAACAGAUCUCAUCACUCCUCGCCAAUGAAACAAAGAGCAUAACGAUCACAUGCAGCCAUGAUGACAGUAGCAAAACUGUUAUGUUAUGGUAUCAGCAAAAGACUGACACUACAGCUAUGGCUCUGAUCGGCUACACCGCUACACGCAUGAGUGAUCCGGUCUAUGAAGAUGGAUUUACUAAAGAGCGAAUUAAAUUAAACAGACAAGGAGACACAGAAGGAGAUCUGACCAUCUCUAGACUCCUCCAGUCUGAUUCUGCUGUUUAUUACUGUGCUGCUAAAGAGCACAGUGCUGCAUGUUCAUACGACUACUGUACUAAAACCCCAAACACCAAACACACAGGAAACAGUACAAACUGUUGCUUUAUGCUGAAUUUCUGGUUUGUUAUCUGACAAUAAAGACCUUUCUAUUCAUUUAUGAGUUCAAUUAUAAAACAGGCUGCAGUGCAGUGCAGAAUAUCUAUUAGCACCCUACUAUAUCCUUCCCUCUUUAAAGAGGGAAAAUAUAAAUAGCUAAAGAAGAAAUCCAAUGUGUGUCAAAUGACGAUUCAAAAUGAAACUAUGGAAAUGUAAUAAUUUGGAAUUCAGUUUCUUUUAUGCACCCCUUUCCUCGUUUCUAACCUGGACACAGAUGCCUGCUUUUGGUCUGCAAAAUAAAAUGUGGUGCUUCCUCCUCUGAUCUAAAUAACUUUAAGCAUUUGUGCAUUAUUCAGUCACCCACAAAUAAGCAUGCCGUAAUGCAUAUUUUGUUCUUCCACCUGUUUCCAUAUCAGUUUUAGCACAUCAUUGUCUGCUUAGUCCUGUUUUAUAGCUUUAUAAACUUGUAUAAAGUUAAAGUGUUGCAGUGGAAAUUCAGCACUGGAACUUGCCUAGAAAUAGCUUAAAAAAAAAACCCAAAAAACAUCAGAGCUGUCAAUAAUCCAUCAACUGUAAAAAAAUAUAUAAAAUAAUAGUAAUAAAAAUAAAUAAAUAAAUAAAGUUAGCUAUUGUGCUAAAUUUUCAGUUAAUUGGGCUUCAAAUGUUAAGUUAACAGAAAGAGAACAUGUGUUUUAUCAGCUGUUUUGUCAGCUGAAGUUUAAAUAAUUCAUCACUGUGAGGAAGCCUUAUUUAUUAUUUAUUAUUAUUUAUUCAUUUGCUUAUUUAAUUAUUUAAACAUGGAAAAUAUUUCAACCUAUUAAAUAUUUCAAGACCAUAAUAUUUAAUUUUCUGUGUUCAAAAUGGGUUUAAGAUAGUAAACUACUAGAUCUGUAAAACAUGACUGUUGAUACAACUUAAUUACAUUACUGACUAGCUAAAGGCUUGAUGAUGAUGCACAUUCUUAAACCUUAAAGAUUUAAUACAGACACAGCAAAUUAUCACAAAAUGUGUGUAUGUUCAAACUUUUCAUAAACAUAGUUUGUAUUACAAAGUUUGCACGGGUUCUGCAUUCUUUUGGUUUUCUUUUGAUUUUCUUUUGAAAUCAUAGGUUACAUUGUUAAGCUUUGCCAUUAUGUUUGUUGCUUUGUAACUUAUUAUUGACUCUCUUAUUAUGAGUUUCUCAAAAAUUACUUGGCUUUUAACUUUUAUUUAUGUUACAUUCCCUUUUAGUUUUCGCCAUACACCAUUUCUGGUGAAGUGUUUGCUGGUGAAUUCUGGUGGUGAAGUGAUCGUGCUCCUCCCUCAAACCAUCCUCAGACAUUACAGCAGAGCAAAACUGGAGAAUAUUACACCCAGUUUGAGUCACUUAAGUUCUCUGCUGACUUUCUGUGACUCUGUCUUGAACUGUGCAUCAGCAAGAUGUAUGUUACGUCUAGACUGUGUUUGUUUUUCAUUUUGUUUUUAGGUAUGUCUCACUUACAAUGUUGCAUCAUAAAUGAUUAACUUGUUUUCCAUAUUUUGCAGUGCUAUUCAAGUUUGAUAAUUGUUUUGUCCAUUUUUGUAAUAACUAUCUUUCUUCAACAGGGAGGACAAACUGUGCUGAAAUUGCACAGAGUGCAGCUGUUUUUGCCAAAACAGACAGUGUAACAAUCAAUUGUAGCCAUGGUGACUCUAGCUUAAUAAAUAUGUAUUGGUAUCAGCAAAAGAGAGACAGUACAGCUAUGGCUCUGAUCGGCUACACUACCGGUGUGAGUAAUCCAGCAAACAAAGAAGAUGGAUUUAGUGGGCGAUUCACACUGAACAGACAGAGCAUCCAGAAAGGAGAUCUGACCAUAUCUGAGCUCCUCCAGUCUGAUUCUGCUGUUUAUUACUGUGCAGCCAGUAAACACAGUGCUGCACAUUCAUAUGAUUGUCAUACUAAAACCCCAAAUACCAAACUCACAGGUGCACAAAGCAAUUCUGGUUCAUCUGAUGAGGUUUCAUACUAAAGUUUUUUCCUAUGGAGGAAGUCUGUUCUCUUUCCCAAUGAACAAGAUGUAGGGCUUCUGGUUGACUUUCAGCAUUGGAACGCACCUCAGAGUGUUACAGCCAAUAGUGAACGUACAUGUAGAGCAUGUGCUCUCUGACUUCCCUUUCAGAUUCUUUCAAACUUCAACAGUUUUUUGUUUUUUUUUUGCCUGGGUUUAUGGGUUGUUUGUGGAUGUUGACCCGCUCCACUCCACAUGCACAUCUAAAAAAGAGGCAGUGUGAUAAAGUGGGACUGACUCUCACUCAAACUGUGAAUCAGAAGGAUGUGUGGUGCUCAUGGACUUUGUAUGUUCUUCAUUGUUUUUGUAGAUCCUUGAAAGAAAGGGUGCUAUUAUUGUUAAAGAAUUAUAAAUCUUUUUUCAAGUUUGUCUUUUUUCUUCUUCAGCAGGAACUACAAACAGCGUAACAUUUCAACAGAUCUCAUCACUUUUCACCAAUGAAUCAGACAGCAUAACAAUCGAGUGUAGCCAUUAUGACAGUACCUGUCAUAUUAUGGUAUGAGUAAAAGAGAGACAGUACAGCUAUGGUUCUGAUCGGCUCUGAUGAACCAACAUAUGAAAAUGGAUUUAGAGAGCGG